UUUAAGGAAACUGCCGGUGAUAAGCCGGAGGAAGGUGGGGAUGACGUCAAGUCCUCAUGGCCCUUACAGGCUGGGCUACACACGUGCUACAAUGGCAUCUACAGUGGGCAGCUAUUCCGCAAGGAUGCGCUAAUCUCCAAAAGAUGUCUCAGUUCGGAUUGUCCUCUGCAACUCGAGGGCAUGAAGGCGGAAUCGCUAGUAAUCGCGGAUCAGCAUGCCGCGGUGAAUACGUUCCCAGGCCUUGUACACACCGCCCGUCACACCAUGGGAGUUGGAUUCACUCGAAGGCGUUGAGCUAACCCGCAAGGGAGGCAGGCGACCACAGUGGGUUUAGCGACUGGGGUGAAGUCGUAACAAGGUAGCCGUAUCGGAAGGUGC
rnacentral:rRNA from 14 species